rnacentral:rRNA from 1 species
GACGAACGCUGGCGGCGUGCUUAACACAUGCAAGUCGAACGGAAAGGCCUCUUUCGGGGGGUACUCGAGUGGCGAACGGGUGAGUAACACGUGAGUAACCUGCCCUUGACUUUGGGAUAACUUCAGGAAACUGGGGCUAAUACCGGAUAGGAGCUCCUGCUGCAUGGUGGGGGUUGGAAAGUUUCGGCGGUUGGGGAUGGACUCGCGGCUUAUCAGCUUGUUGGUGGGGUAGUGGCUUACCAAGGCUUUGACGGGUAGCCGGCCUGAGAGGGUGACCGGCCACUUUGGGACUGAGAUACGGCCCAGACUCCUACGGGAGGCAGCAGUGGGGAAUAUUGCACAAUGGGUGGAAGCCUGAUGCAGCAACGCCGUGUGCGGGAGGACGGCCUUCGGGUUGUAAACCGCUUUCGCUCAUGACGAAGCUUUGUGUGACGGUAGUGGGUAAAGAAGCACCGGCUAACUACGUG